UUAAGCUUAGCCUUUGAGCCACGCAUCUUGAAAGCUGCCUUGUCAUAAGCCACCGCAGCCUCCUCGGCCGUCUCAUAGGUCCCUAACCACAGUCUAGCUCCGUUCUUGUUCGGAUCUCUGAUCUCAGCAGCGUAUUUCCCCCAUGGUCUUCUCCUCACUCCUUUGUAAUUUCCUCCUCUGCUUCGUGACAGCUCAGAAGAAGAUGAUGACGAUGAUGAAUCUUCUUCUUCAACUGGAGAUCUGGAAGCUGUGAGAUCAAUCUCGUCUUCCUCAAGAAGUUGCCUGCGAAUCCAAUCAAGAACUGCUGAGCCAUUGUUAUCCCAUGUGAGCUCUGCUUCCAUUUUGUUUUGUUCUGUGUUGUUUUUCUUCCUCAAGACUCUCACUGUGUGUUUGAUUGUUUUGGUUUGGAUCUUGUCUUUAACAGGUAGGAGAAGAUAUAUAUAUAUAAAGGGGAAAGGAAUUAUUCAGACGCAACUUCUCAAUAGUAUAGUAUGGGAGUAGAGUAUAAUAUUGGACCACUAUGGAGUUGCUUGGAAGUGCAGAAUCAAUCACGUUUUACUCAAUGUUUCUUCUCUCUAUUUUAUUAGUAUUAUAAAAAAAGAGAACAGACAAAGGAAUCUUGAACCAAUCUAGUUUUCGUGCUUACUCGUUUUGGUUGCACGCAGCACGAAAGAGCUUAUUAUAUAGUAUUAAUGCUAUUUUAUAUCCCGCAAAGGCGCA
rnacentral:lncRNA from 1 species